AAACCUAAUGGAUCGACCUU
rnacentral:misc_RNA from 1 species